rnacentral:lncRNA from 1 species
AUGAAAGCAGCCCAUGGAAUCAAGGUGUUACUGUUAUUCAAUCAGUAAUAAAAUGUGGCUUCUCAGAAGAGGAGCACUUGAGUACUUCAGCAAGACAUAAAGCUUGUUUGGCAGACAAGUUGGAGGAAGGCCUCUCAAUCCUGGAAGAGAAUCUGAGCGCACCAUAUUGGAGGAACUGUGCCUGCAGUUUGAGGAAGGAACAGCAGAUAAAGCUCAAAGUGGAUUCCCUGGAUACUAAAUAAAAGAGAUGAGGCUUCCUCCUGUA